CAGGAUCCCGGCCUCCUCAGAGCAGGAGAGGAUGAGGCAGCUGUUCUCGCCCUGUUAGCAUGCGGCUCCUGCCUCCUGACGGCCCUGGUGGAGCAAGGACCAAUUCAUCUCCUGGCUCCUGCUGCACUGGCAUCAAUAAGCACAGCUCCAAAUCACUGCCAUUACAUGCGCAUGUUAUUCCCCAGCGCCAGAUAAGAGAGGUGGAGAUAAAGAUCUGAUGAGGGCCAUGCGAGGACAGAGCCAGAUCCUGGGACCCCCAGCCUGUGAACGCAUUGUCGAGGUCCCGAAGCCCUGCGCAGCCCUGCUCACCCGCCUGGGGCAGAUGCUGGCAGCACCGUGUCAGCCCGGCUCUCGCAGCACCUCCUGUUCUGCAGGGUGUGCUGCUCCUGGUCACCCGCCGCGGUGUCGGGGUAAGCCACUUGUCACUCCAGAGGCCUCACGUGCUGGGGGAACGCGCCGGACCUGUUCUGCCAACCUCUGCAGCAAAAACAAGGCAAAGACCAUUAACAGGCACCCUCAUCAUGCAGCCCCAAACCAUUCCCACCCUCUGCAUACCUCUGCUCCCACAUGGGGAUGCACGACGUGUCCAGUGGGAGCCUGGCAGGAGGCAGCUGCCACAGAUUCCUGAUCCGACCUUGGCGUGUUGCUGUGCCCCCCCCCGAGCUCUGUGCCUGGGGAGGCCUGAGAGGAGCCGCGGGCAGCUCACGGGCACGGAAAUUGGGGUCACCCACAUUAUGGGAAAGUGUUGCGACAAGCGUGGCCACAGCCAAACCACCCCCAUGAGUCAGACACUGAUGGAGCUGUGGGGACGGGGAGAGGGGACCGGUCACCCUAACGCCUGCCCCAGGGCAGGGCUGUCACAGGGGUGUGCCUCGCUCUACCUGGUGACAGCUGUCCCCAGCUUGGAUGUCAUCUACCCCAUCUCCCAGCAGUGUGGAGCAAGGCCCAGGAGGGCAGAUGUCACCAGGACCAUGUUCAGGGACCUUCUGGACCAGGGCUUCGAGGACAGGCUCUACUGAGGGACAGGGGCUCUGUGGGGGCGCUGGGUCUGUC
rnacentral:lncRNA from 1 species